UGAACAAGAUCUUUAGACUGUGACAGACA
rnacentral:piRNA from 1 species